UUGGAGGGCAAGUCUGGUGCCAGCAGCCGCGGUAAUUCCAGCUCCAAUAGCGUAUAUUAAAGUUGUUGCAGUUAAAAAGCUCGUAGUUGAACUUCGGGGUCUACCCAUUGGUCAGGCUUAAUUGUCUGCACUGGUGAGAUGGAUCUCUACCUUCUGAGGAACUUUCAUGCCAUUUAUUUGGUGUGAUAGGAAAUCAGGACUGUUACUUUGAAAAAAUUAGAGUGUUUAAAGCAGACUAUCGUCUGAAUACAUUAGCAUGGAAUAAUGAAAUAGGACGGACUGAUUCUAUUUCGUUGGUUUCUAGGAUCACCGUAAUGAUUAAUAGGGAUAGUUGGGGGCACUAGUAUUCAAUUGUCAGAGGUGAAAUUCUUGGAUUUAUUGAAGACUAACUACUGCGAAAGCAUUUGCCAAGGAUGUUUUCAUUAAUCAAGAACGAAAGUUAGGGGAUCGAAGGCGAUCAGAUACCGUCGUAGUCUUAACCAUAAACUAUGCCGACUAGGGAUCGGACGAAGUUAUUAAAAAUGACGCGUUCGGCGCCUUACGGGAAAC
rnacentral:rRNA from 1 species